ACUAAGAGAGGAGCCUAAAGAAAUGGCUCCACUGUUUACCACACACCCAAUAGGAAUCUGGAUUAAUGUGACAAGGGGCAUAAAACUUGUGGUCUUCCUAUGAACAAACAUCCAACACAU
rnacentral:snoRNA from 1 species